rnacentral:rRNA from 1 species
AACGAACGCUGGCGGCGUGGAUAAGACAUGCAAGUCGAACGGGACAAGUAGCAAUAUUUGUCUAGUGGCGAACGGGUGCGUAACACGUGGGCAACAUGCCUGGAAGAGCGGGAUAGCCCGGGGAAACUCGGAUUAAUACCGCAUGUGACAACGGGGCGGAUUCGCCCUGUUUUCAAAGGUGGGGACCGCAAGGCCUGCCGCUUCCAGAUUGGCCCGCGUCCUAUCAGCUAGUUGGCGGGGUAACGGCCCACCAAGGCGACGACGGGUAGCUGGUCUGAGAGUACGACCAGCCACACUGGAACUGAGACACGGUCCAGACACCUACGGGUGGCAGCAGUUGAGAAUCUUUCACAAUGGGGGAAACCCUGAUGGAGCGACGCCGCGUGGAGGAUGACGGUCUUCGGAUUGUAAACUCCUGUCAUGAAAGAACAAGCGGAGCGGGUGAACAGCCCGCCGAGUUGAUAGUAUUUCAAGAGGAAGGGACGGCUAACUUCGUGCCAGCCGCCGCGGUAAAAC